rnacentral:rRNA from 1 species
GAUGAACGCUGGCGGCGUGCCUAAUACAUGCAAGUCGAGCGAACAGAUGAGGAGCUUGCUCCUCUGACGUUAGCGGCGGACGGGUGAGUAACACGUGGUUAACCUACCUAUAAGACUGGGAUAACUUCGGGAAACCGGAGCUAAUACCGGAUAAUAUAUUGAACCGCAUGGUUCAAUAGUGAAAGACGGUUUUGCUGUCACUUAUAGAUGGAUCCGCGCCGCAUUAGCUAGUUGGUAAGGUAACGGCUUACCAAGGCGACGAUGCGUAGCCGACCUGAGAGGGUGAUCGGCCACACUGGAACUGAGACACGGUCCAGACUCCUACGGGAGGCAGCAGUAGGGAAUCUUCCGCAAUGGGCGAAAGCCUGACGGAGCAACGCCGCGGGAGUGAUGAAGGUCUUCGGAUCGUAAAACUCUGUUAUUAGGGAAGAACAAAUGUGUAAGUAACUAUGCACGUCUUGACGGUACCUAAUCAGAAAGCCACGGCUAACUACGUG